rnacentral:misc_RNA from 1 species
CUGUACUGCAUAAAUGGUGACCCUUCUCAGUCAUUUCUCAUUAAAAAUAAUGAUCUCUAUUCUAACAUUUGUAGCUUCUAACUAGUCCAUUCUAUGAGAAAUUGUAGGUUUAUACUAUGGAGGAGAAUAAUCCCAAAUGAAAGUUUUCAGAUUUGUUGAUGUUAAAGAUGCUGCAUUUAGACAUAUUCAAGCUUUUUGGGAUUAUCCAGUCCAAGCUUAGAGCAUCUUCUCUUAUCAAAUUCUUGAAUUGUAUACAUUUGUUCAUCUGUACUUUUGUCUAUAUUUCCAUGGCAUUAAACAGGAAAUGAAUAAUUAAAAGAAAAAAAAAUAUAUUACCUAUUAUAUAAUCUAGAUGACUAUAUGACAAACAGAAUCACCAUCAUCUAUAAGACUAUAUUUAUAUGUCAGAGUUUGAAUUUUUUUUUUACUAAUUUCCUGUAUUAUUAGGCAGAUACUUGAUCAUUGGGUCAAUGGCAGCUCU